GCAGUGGUGGUUCAAUGGUAGAAUUCUUGCCUUCCGUGUGAGAGACCUGGGUUCCAUCCCUGGCCAACGCA
rnacentral:tRNA from 1 species